UACGGAGGGUGCAAGCGUUAAUCGGAAUUACUGGGCGUAAAGCGUGCGUAGGCGGUUCGUUAAGUCUGUUGUGAAAGCCCCGGGCUCAACCUGGGAAUGGCAAUGGAUACUGGCGAGCUAGAGUGUGUCAGAGGAUGGUGGAAUUCCCGGUGUAGCGGUGAAAUGCGUAGAGAUCGAGAGGAACAUCAGUGGCGAAGGCGGCCAUCUGGGACAACACUGACGCUGAGGCACGAAAGCGUGGGGAGCAAACAGG
rnacentral:rRNA from 1 species